rnacentral:piRNA from 2 species
UUGCAUGUUUUGUGCAGAUGAGGUAACCGC